rnacentral:rRNA from 1 species
ACGAAGGGAGCUAGCGUUGUUCGGAAUUACUGGGCGUAAAGGGUGCGUAGGCGGUUCGACUAGUCAGAUGUGAAAGCCCUGGGCUCAACCCAGGAACUGCGUUUGAUACUUUCGAGCUUGAAUUUGGUAGAGGUGAGUGGAAUUCCCAGUGUAGAGGUGAAAUUCGUAGAUAUUGGGAAGAACACCGGUGGCGAAGGCGGCUCACUGGACCAACAUUGACGCUGAGGCACGAAAGCGUGGGUAGCAAACAG